rnacentral:rRNA from 1 species
UACGUAGGGUGCGAGCGUUAAUCGGAAUUACUGGGCGUAAAGCGUGCGCAGGCGGUCAUGUAAGACAGAUGUGAAAUCCCCGGGCUUAACCUGGGACCUGCAUUUGUGACUGCAUUGCUGGAGUGCGGCAGAGGGGGAUGGAAUUCCGCGUGUAGCAGUGAAAUGCGUAGAUAUGCGGAGGAACACCGAUGGCGAAGGCAAUCCCCUGGGCCUGCACUGACGCUCAUGCACGAAAGCGUGGGGAGCAAACAGG